rnacentral:rRNA from 1 species
AGGACGAACGCUGGCGGCGUGCCUAAUACAUGCAAGUCGAACGAGGUUCAUCCGGUGGCAACACCGGAGAAGACCGAGUGGCGAACGGGUGAGUAGCACGUGAGCAACCUACCCCGAAGACUGGGAUAACACCGGGAAACCGGUGCUAAUACCGGAUACCCCCAUCGGAUCGCAUGGUCUGAUGAGGAAAUGGAUUCCGCUUCGGGAGGGGCUCGCGGCCUAUCAGUUAGUUGGUGAGGUAAUGGCCUACCAAGGCGACGACGGGUA